UGAUAAAAUAAUGUUUUAUUACUCUGUUUCUGAUGUGCACCACAUGGUGCAGUACCGACUAGAACCACUGGGUGUAAACUGGGCUGUCGGCAGAUGCUGGUCAACAGCAAGUAUAUAU